rnacentral:rRNA from 1 species
AACGAACGCUGGCGGCAUGCCUAACACAUGCAAGUCGAACGAGACCUUCGGGUCUAGUGGCGCACGGGUGCGUAACGCGUGGGAACCUGCCUUUAGGUUCGGAAUAACUCAGAGAAAUUUGAGCUAAUACCGGAUGAUGUCUUCGGACCAAAGAUUUAUCGCCUUUAGAUGGGCCCGCGUUGGAUUGGCUAGUUGGUGGGGUAAAGGCCUACCAAGGCGACGAUCCAUAGCUGGUCUGAGAGGAUGAUCAGCCACACUGGGACUGAGACACGGCCCAGACUCCUACGGGAGGCAGCAGUGGGGAAUAUUGGACAAUGGGCGAAAGCCUGAUCCAGCAAUGCCGCGUGAGUGAUGAAGGCCUUAGGGUUGUAAAGCUCUUUUACCCGAGAUGAUAAUGACAGUAUCGGGAGAAUAAGCUCCGGCUAACUCCGUG